UCUCCUGAAGUUAAUGAGAAGGGGUAACAGGUAAUUGAAAAAAUUUUAAAAUCAUAUGACAAUAUGAUUUCAUGCUUCAUCCUCAUACAACCAAAAUGUUUUCUGUAAAUGAGUCCCACACUUUGGGAAGCACUGGACUAUGGUAUACAAUUCAAACUCAGUAGCCUGCUAUGAUCUUACUCCCAAUUCCCUUUUGAUCUGAUUUCCUGCCACUCCGCAAGUCAUAUUUACAACUCUAUUCAUGCUAAAGGACAUAUCAUUUGGCCCUAGGAUGUCUCCAUCGUGUCUACUGAGAAACAUAUUAGGCCUCUGAAGAGGUUCUAGAUGUGAAGCUUUCAGAGACCCCACCCAGGCACCUUUCUCCUUAGUAUGAGCAAAGGCGCUAGUCAGGCUCCUCUGAGUUCUCUUGUUGACUAGGCCUCAAGCUUACCUUUCUAGGUUGAACAAACACUAAGACAGUUUCUAACAGCUCAACAUUGUUUACUUAGGAUGAGCCUACCCCCCACUUAAAGUGCAAGCCUGAUAAUACUCAAGGCUGCCAAAAGAGCUUCCUGUUGUUCCAACCAACACCUGAAGACCGGGAUCCCGGUUUCCAGUCUCUGCGGGAGGGGAGGGGCCGAACUUCAGUAAACAGCAGUGAACAAAACUAGAUGGGUUUUACGUGGACUAACCUCUUUUCCGGAUUUUUAUAAUUUUUCAUUUUCCUGAAAAACUCUAUGGAGUCCCCACGCACCCUUCUCCCUGAUCCUUCAUUGUCCCACCUAAUCACCUCUGUACAGGUCAAAGUUGAGCUUAGUUCACAUUGCACUCUUUUCCCUAUUGUAAUAAUAUACAUUAAUUCUUACCAUUUUAUUUAGUGUUCAGGGUUGUUUAUCUUUCGCACCAUUCCAUAGCUACUUCUAAUGUACUAUAUAGUCAUUAUUCACUGAACUACCACUCUCACCCGCUAUGCUGUGCUCUGUUCUGUACUCCGACUGCUGAGGUCAGCCCCCGUAUUGUGCCUCCCAUAUUAGAAAUGGCAAACAUUCUCUUUACUCACAAGUUAAUAAAGUGAAAUAAUAACACAAUGUAUUUUGUCAGAUAAGUACUCAUCUACUACUGAGGUGGUAUUUUCUUAAGAGCAACCUUUACAUUUAAAUAACUCUUAAGAGCAAUCUUUAUGUUUAAGUAACUUACAUUUAAAUGUGCUUAGAAAGGGGGAACUAAGUUACCUGACUGCUGUGAACAGGGUCAUGAGGAGAGACUCUAACACACUGGUUUAGUUUUAUUUCAACUUCAGAAUCAUAAGAGGGACAUUACACAUUGCAUCAAAUUCUAUAGUGUAAAAAUAAAAUAAAAAUAUCAGCUUACAUUCCUUCUUUCUUAGUUUGUCGGUGUCAUUUUUAAUUCCAACGUUUUGUUAAACCUCACAUCUUCCUCUUUUGAAUUUCUACUUCCUUUUAAAAUGGCAAUUGCCAUUUCUUUUAAUAUCUUUUGUCUUAUAUUAGUAAGAGCAUUUCUCUAAUUAUAACAUGGGGAAUUUACAUGUGGGUUACAGUGGAGACUAGAUUUUUACAUCAAAAUUAAUUUUGUUUUAUUUGCUCCUAAUUUAUAGGUGAAAAUGCUAUUUUCCAUGGAAAUCUAUUUUGUUCCAUAAAAUUAAAUGAACCAUGACCCAGAAGUGCAACGAGACACACACAGCAUGACCACAUUAUUUCUGAAAGCUGAAGAGUUCCCAGUCUGCUGAUCUCAGACUUCGUGAACCACAUCGUUCAGUUCAAAUUGUUUCCCUGUAAUAGCUUUGAGCCCCUGCCAAACAGCCACUGAAGGACUCUGAAAAAUACAAGAACUGAAAGGGGCACAUGGCAGAUAUAAUCAUAAACUUUCAUUUCAGAGAGCAAUAAAAAAGGAGAAGAAGAACACACUGGUACUCCAACAAGUCGUAGUUUCUGCCAGAUGUUGCAAAAAUCAAAUGUCCACAGAAACUCCAUCAGCAACACUGCUUUCAAAGUGUCUUUUGACAAGUAAUGUGUGCAUUUUACAAAUCCAAAGGCAAUAUUUGAAGUAGCUCUUCCAAACAGCUGUAUUACUCAAAGCUAUCUCUAUAUCACCACCUUGUUUCAUGGAAGAAAAUGUGGAAAUGUGUACUGAAAAUGUGUAAAUGAUUAAAGCAUCAGUAUAAAGAAAAAAACAUUCUGAACAUGAAUAAAAAUUAUUUUGAGGGUUUGUUGAAAAAUCAAACACCAGAUGUCCAUGGCUGACUUGCCAAAUGAAAAUCCUUGAAAGAAAGGUUCAGAAAUUGACAUUUCAAAUGAAUAUACCCCAGCUGAUUGACACAGGUGUUCCUUUGAGCAAUCCUGGAUAGCACUGUGGUAGACCCCAGGUAAGCAAUCCUGUGGGAUCUGCUUUUUCAACUUUGUAGUAGAUUGUAUUUUCCAAAGUGACACUGACAUCUCUCCACCAAAUGAUGGGAUUUAUGUUACCUCUUCUUGGACCUGGGUGAACUUUUGACUGCAGUAGAAGUGACGCUAUGUGACUUCUAAGACCAAUUCAUAAAAUGCAAUACAGCUUCCUCCUAACUCCCUUGGGAUGCUGGCCCUAGGAAACCAGCCACCAUGCUGUAAGAAAGCCAAGCAGCCACAUGAAAAGACCACAUGUAGGUCUUUCAGUCAUAGAUACAGUUGAACUCUCCAUUGACAGCCAGCCUUUAACCACUACAUGAGUGAGCCUUUAGAUAAUUCUAGCCCCCAGCUUUUGGGCCACCCCAGUAGACAAAAGACAAGCUCUUUCACCCAACCUUGGUCAAAUUUCAGAUUUGUGAAUGAAAUUUAUGUUGUCACUGUUCUAAGCCACUAAAUGUUAUAGUGGUUUGUUACAUAGCAAUAAAUAACAGAACAAAUUCCAAAUGCUUCCACAUCUUCUUCAGAUAAAAUGUAAAGCCCCACGUAAACCUUCAUGCAUUCCAGUUUGCAUUUAAGGAUUUCAUAUUCUAUCCAACCAGAUCCACCCCCAGCCCAGACUGACUUACUGGGUCCUGCUUUAGCUAAUUGGCUAAGUCUGCAGUUCUGAAUCAGGAGAGAUUUUGUUUCCCACAGAACAUUUGGCAAUGUCUGGAGACAUUUAAUGGUUGUCACAACUGGGGGAAAGGGUACAACUGGUAUCUAAAUGGGUAGAAACUAGAGGUGUGGCUAAACAUCCCACAAUCCACGCAUGACCCCUCCCCUGCAACAAAGAACUAUCAAGCCUAAAUGGUGCCAAGGUUGAGAGACUCUGACCUAGCUCUGGUCCCCAGCAGUGAGGUACUCAGUUUUCACGAGUGUCUUCAUCAUCAUGUAGGUUGAAGGUUCUCAACCAGGAAUUAAAGAAAUAGUGUGUGCUGGGGGAAGGGGAGGUUAGAAUAUCAGGAUUUUUAACCUAUACUGUUGCUAUAGCCUAGAUGUUUGUGUCCCUCCAGAACUCAUAUGUUGAAAUCUAAUCCACAAUGUGAUGGUAUUAGGAGGUGGGGCCUCUGGGAGGAGAUUAGGUCAUGAGGGCUCCCAUGAGUGGGAUUAGCACUCUUUUAAAAGAGGCUUGAAGGAGCCUUUUUUUCCCCUUCCACCAUGCAAGGAUAGAGUGAAAGGGCACCAUCUAUGAGAUGUCUGGCCGUCACCAGACUUUGAAUCAGCUGACAUGUUCAUCUUGAAUUUUUCGGGCUUCAGAACUACAGGAAAUAAAACCUGUUGUUUAUAAAUUAUCCAGGCUAAGGAUUUUUUAUAGCAGUUAUAGCGGCUUAAAUGGACUAAAACAAGUGAGCUUGUGGUGUUCAACCAUGGCUACAAAUUAGAAUAAGUUGGCAAGGGUUUUUUUGUUAGUUUUCUUGGUUUUUUUUUUUUCAACUAUCACUGCUCAAUCCCCAACUCUGGAGAUUCUGAUUUUAAAAAUACUGGAUGCUAGUAUUUUUUAAAAGCUUCUUAAGUUAUUUUAAUGAGUAGCUAAGCAUGAGAACUGAGGCACUGGCCACUUCUCACCUGGAGACUGUGACUCCUAACCUGUUCCAGGUUAGGUCACAAAGGGGAGAUUGGGGAAAUCUAGAAAACAAAAUUCAAAAAUCCCAGUGGGUAAUUCUGUUGGCUCCGUUCCCCUGCUGAAACCCUCUGCCUUACAUAGUCCUCUGCUCUUAGUCUGCCAUAUUCUGGCAAGAAAAAGACCUGAGCCAGACUCCUCCUUCAUUCUAGUGCACUUAUUUGGGAUGGAAGCAAACCUUAAGAAUUAAUUGAUUCUUGUCAAGCCACUAAGUAGUACCAUUUUUUAGCAAAUGCUAAACAAUUCUGUCAUAAUAAGUUCAGUCUGCUGUGCACCUCUUCAUCUAUGAAAUAAGCUCUAUUUACUAGAUUUUCCAUUAAUUACCUAAGAUGGAUAUAAAAACAUUAUUCAAUAUUCUUAGAAUUUUAGCACUGGAGUGUCAAGCUAAAUCAAAUAAUUUAUAUAUUUACAUAGUUUAAGAUGAUGACAAUAGUUUACUCAUAGUAAGUUAUUUUGCUGAGGUUUAUCUCUCUCUCUCUGCACAGGACUUAACCUCGCUUCCCAACCAAAAAAAAACAAAAAAACAAAAAAAACAGCAGUUAGGCAACUGUCCUGCCAUCUGCCUCAGAUGCGAAGCAGAUAAAAGUCGGCUCACUAAAAACAAAAAUGACUUGGGUGGAGAGGGAAAAAUGUGAAAUAGCCUGUUAUUAUAAUAAUUACCUCAGUAAAAUGUGUUAUUUUAUCAUGAUAAUGAGAUUUUCUGAACAUGUUAUUACAUUUGUGGUAAAAAGAAAAAAAUCAAAACUAUGUUUUUGUUUUCAAAAUCCAGUCAUCGAAGGAAAACACCAAUUUAAUAAAUUUCUCAAUAAUUAUCAAAUUAUAACUUUAUAACUCUUUCCCAUUAAAGCCAAAGGCAGAAAGAAUCCUUAAUGUCAUAUUUACACUCAUUAUCUACAACAGAGAAAAGCUGAAUAUCUAUAAUAGUUUUGAGUGCUAAGUGUACAGAGUAAGUGCCCAUCUGUGCUGGAAGGCAGUCAUAAUUGUGAGCAUAGGUUCUUGACUAGCAUUGCCUGGGUUUAAAUCCUAAGCCCACCAUUUACAAUGUGAUCUUGUGCAUAUUAUUUUACCCUUAUAACUCAGUUUCCUCCUCUAAAAAACAGUGAUAAUAAUAGUACUGGGAUCAUAAUUACCUUUGGGAACUAAAAGAUACAAUGAAUAGAAAAUGCUUUGCCUAGUCUGUGGCACAUAAGAUGUAUUUAAAGAAUGAGCAUAUUUUCACUCUCAAAUCUAUAAUGACAGCUCAUACUUCCCUUUUUAAGUUUCAGAACUAUAUUUCCAACUGCCUUCUGGAUGUCUCCAUCUGAAUUUCCUCAGGCCACUUCUAAAUUAUCUUUUCCAGUAUAUAUUAGUUUUUCUCCAUUACUCCUUGACUUAUCACUAAAACCAUUUUACCAACACAGAGUAAGGUGUUUGGAAUGGGUUUUGAGCUCAGGUAUCCUUCUAAAGGAUGGCUAUGUGGCAAUUAUGCUUCUAGUUGUUAUUUAUCUCCCUUUUCUAGAGACACAUUGUUUGCUGUCAAACAGAGUAUCUAAAAUAAUUUUAAUUGACACCUUAAGCUCUUCAAAAUAUUGUUAUCUUAUAACCUUUCUAAUAUUCUAAAGAGCAUUUUUAAUAGUUUCUUAAAGGUACUAGGCUUAAUGUCUUACUUAACACUUUCUGUAAACAACAGAACUUGAUUUUGCCCCAUUGUGUGUACCUCAUUUCUUGAGCACCUCUCUAAUACUGUCCUCAGUGUCCAUGAUGAAAAGUCAUAUUCUUACUUAGUUUUGAGACCAAAAACCAACUGGGCAAGAUCUAGGACUGUAGGACUUUUUUUGAUAAAAGUUGAGGCAAUAGGCCAGGCACGCUGGCUCGUACCUGUGAUCCCAGCACUUUGGGAGG